rnacentral:tRNA from 1 species
GGGGUAUUAGUUUAAUAGUAAAACUUCUGACUUCCAAUCAGAUGUCGGCGGAGCGUAACCGCCAUACCCCUCCA